AGUGGCGGACGGGUGAGUAACGCGUAGGAAUCUACCCUGAAGUGGGGGAUAACCCGGGGAAACUCGGGCUAAUACCGCAUAUGUCCUUCGGGACAAAGGGGGCCUCUCCAUGGAAGCUCCCGCUUUGGGAGGAGCCUGCGUCGGAUUAGCUUGUUGGUAGGGUAAUGGCCUACCAAGGCGACGAUCCGUAGCUGGUCUGAGAGGACGGCCAGCCACACUGGAACUGAGACACGGUCCAGACUUCUACGGAAGGCAGCAGUAAGGAAUUUUGGACAAUGGGCGAAAGCCUGAUCCAGCCAUGCCGCGUGUGUGAAGAAGGCCUUAGGGUUGUAAAGCACUUUCAGAGGUGAAGAAAAUCUCGGGGUUAAUACCUCCGAGCCUUGACGUUAACCUCACAAGAAGCACCGGCUAACUCCGUGCCAGCAGCCGCGGUGAUACGGAGGGUGCGAACGUUAAUCGGAAUUACUGGGCGUAAAGCGCGCGUAGGCGGUUUGUUAAGUGAGAUGUGAAAGCCCCGGGCUCAACCUGGGAAUUGCGUUUCANACUGGCANACUANAGUUUGGUAGAGGAAGGUGGAAUUCCCCGUGU
rnacentral:rRNA from 1 species